rnacentral:rRNA from 1 species
AUUUUAGUCUUAUUAGAGGAACCUGUUUUUUAAUUGAUAAUCCACGAUUAAUUUUACUUAUUUUUGUAAUUCAUAUAUCGCUGUCAUGAAUAUAUUAAAAAAUUUAUUUUCUUUAUUUAUUUUUAUAAUUUAUGUUAAGUCAAGAUGUGGUUUAUAAAUAAGUUUAUAAUGGGUUACAAUAAAUUUUAUUUAUGGAUUUUAAAUGAAAAUUAAAAUGAAAUUGGAUUUAAUAGUAAAUUUAAUUAUUUAGUUAAUAUGAAGAAAGAUCUAAAAUAUGUACAUAUUGCCCGUCAUUCUUAUUAAAAAUAAGACAAGUCGUAACAAAGUAAAUGUACUGGAAAGUGUAUUUAGAAAGAUUUAUAAUUAUAAAUAAAUAUCUAAAUUUAA